UGGGGAAUUUUGCACAAUGGGGGAAACCCUGAUGCAGCGACGCCGCGUGAUUUAGAAGGCCUUCGGGUUGUAAAAAUCUUUUUUAUGGGAUGAAAAUGACAGUACCAUAAGAAUAAGGUCCGGCUAAAUACGUGCCAGCAGCCGCGGUAAUACGUAUGGACCGAGCGUUGUCCGGAAUCAUUGGGCGUAAAGGGUACGUAGGCGGCCCAGUAAGUUAGAAGUGAAAUAAUAUAGCUCAACUAUAUAAAGCUUUUAAAACUGCUAGGCUUGAGAGAUGGAAGGGAAAGUGGAAUUCCUAGUGUAGCGGUGAAAUGCGCAGAUAUUAGGAAGAAUACCGGUGGCGAAGGCGACUCUCUGGUCUGUAACUGACGCUGAGGCUCGAAAGCGUGGGGAGCGAACAGG
rnacentral:rRNA from 1 species